rnacentral:rRNA from 1 species
AGAACGAACGCUGGCGGCAUGCCUAAUACAUGCAAGUCGAACGAACACUUCGGUGUUAGUGGCGCACGGGUGCGUAACGCGUGGGAAUCUGCCCUUGGGUUCGGAAUAACAGUUGGAAACGACUGCUAAUACCGGAUGAUGACGAAAGUCCAAAGAUUUAUCGCCCAGGAUGAGCCCGCGUAGGAUUAG